AAAGUCGUAACAAGGUUUCCGUAGGUGAACCUGCGGAAGGAUCAUUAGAAAAAACUUUUAGACUGCGUGCGUCGAGCAUGUCAAAUCUAUAAGCACACCCCCCCGCGUACUUUUACCUGGUUGCUUCCGCGAGCACUCGAGCCCGGUCUCUCUCCUUCGUGGGAGUGUCGGUGCGCGGCGCUCGCGAAAGGCCAACUUCAAAACCAUUUUUUUAUUUUUCACUGCGUUUUUAUUUACGGAUUGUCUGAAGUACAAAUAAAAUACAAAAAAGUUAAAACUUUCAACAACGGAUCUCUUGGUUCUC
rnacentral:misc_RNA from 1 species